rnacentral:rRNA from 1 species
GACGAACGCUGGCGGCGUGCCUAAUACAUGCAAGUCGAGCGAAGUUUUUCUGGUGCUUGCACUAGAAAAACUUAGCGGCGAACGGGUGAGUAACACGUAAAGAACCUGCCUCAUAGACUGGGACAACUAUUGGAAACGAUAGCUAAUACCGGAUAACAGUAUUUCUCGCAUGAGAGAUAUUUAAAAGUUUGUUAUGCUAACACUAUGAGAUGGCUUUGCGGUGCAUUAGCUAGUUGGUGGGGUAAAGGCCCACCAAGGCGACGAUGCAUAGCCGACCUGAGAGGGUGAUCGGCCACACUGGGACUGAGACACGGCCCAGACUCCUACGGGAGGCAGCAGUAGGGAAUCUUCCGCAAUGGGCGAAAGCCUGACGGAGCAACGCCGCGUGAGUGAAGAAGGAUUUCGGUUCGUAAAGCUCUGUUGUUAGGGAAGAAUGGAUAUGUAGUAACUAUACAUGUAAGAGACGGUACCUAACCAGAAAGCCACGGCUAACUACGUG